CUUUUACUUUCUUCGAUCUCUAACCCAAAACUCUCUUGCUGAAAUUUUCCUUGCUCCUUGCUCCCAUCAAACUAUGAAUUUCUUUGUUUCUUGUUCUUUGAUCAAAUCCGCAAAAUGACAAGAACUAGACCUUCUUCUUCUACUGCUCGUGAUGUUCCUUCUUCUUCUAGACCACUACCGACGCUUGCCGGCGAUGGUAUCAAAGUUGAAGAGGCUCCAUCCGAAACCAUUGACACCUCCUUCUCGUUUCUCCCCGACUUGUAUAAUUUCAAUAAUGAUUUUUCCUUUUGUGCCGCAAUUACUCAGAACGACUGGGGUGAAAUGGUUAAAAAUUACCCUUGUUCAAUCACAGCUUCUACCCUCGAGAUGUUCCGAAAAGGAUUGUCACUGUGAAUCCAUUUCUCAAAUCAUUAUUCCCAGUGAAAAUGAUGACAUUACCACCCCAAGUCUUAGUUUCUCGAACGCGUACACAUAUCCGUUUGCACUUGGCUUAAAUUUGGGGAUCAAUCCAGCGAUAAUCGAAAUGUACAAACGAUACAACGUUUGCCUUGCUCAAGUCGGUCCAUCCAUGUGGAGAGUGGUGGCUUGCAUCCGGUCAUUGGCCAAUGAGGCCAAAUUACCUUUCAUUUUAAGCCAUCUAAUUCGUCUCUGUACUCCUAAAUUUUUUUCGAGGUGGAGUUAUCACCAUUUCGAAGCGAGGUAAAACCUCGUUCAUCACCAGUCUAGACGAAGACAAACAGAGGCUGGAUGGAAAGAUUUGUCGUUGUUCCUAGAGCGAAAAUUAUUCCAAAAGAAGAUAUGCCCUUCCCAGAGGCAUAGAACUUAUCUCGUUCGAGAAAUUUUGGGCAUUUCAAUUUACGAAUCCUGAAAUUGGAAAGAAAUGCCCCGUGAUGGAUAGCAAAGAACCAAGGUUUUCCCAAAGAAACUGUGCGCCUGAGGGUGAUCAUGUCGACCCUAUUCUUAACCUGGCGGCUUUCGCUCGCCGAAUCACCCGAGCAACAAAGAAGACGCAGAAGAUGAUUAGUUUACAAGAAAACUUUAUCUACUACAUCAAUAAAAGUUAGUUUUUUGCUAUUAAAUCUUUCUAUGAUGUAAAAUCAAUUCAAGUUUAUUCUAUUUGAUCUGCCAAA